GACGAACGCUGGCGGCGCGCCUAACACAUGCAAGUCGAACGAGAGAUGAGGAGCUUGCUCUUCAAAUCGAGUGGCGAACGGGUGAGUAACGCGUGAGGAACCUGCCUCAAAGAGGGGGACAACAGUUGGAAACGACUGCUAAUACCGCAUAAGCCCACGGCUCGGCAUCGAGCAGAGGGAAAAGGAGUGAUCCGCUUUGAGAUGGCCUCGCGUCCGAUUAGCUAGUUGGUGAGGUAACGGCCCACCAAGGCGACGAUCGGUAGCCGGACUGAGAGGUUGAACGGCCACAUUGGGACUGAGACACGGCCCAGACUCCUACGGGAAGCAGCAGUGGGGAAUAUUGCACAAUGGGGGAAACCCUGAUGCAGCGACGCCGCGUGGAGGAAGAAGGUCUUCGGAUUGUAAACUCCUGUUGUUGAGGAAGAUAAUGACGGUACUCAACAAGGAAGUGACGGCUAACUACGUGCCAGCAGCCGCGGUAAAACGUAGGUCACAAGCGUUGUCCGGAAUUACUGGGUGUAAAGGGAGCGCAGGCGGGAAGACAAGUUGGAAGUGAAAUCCAUGGGCUCACCCCAUGAACUGCUUUCAAACUGUUUUUCUUGAGUAGUGCAGAGGUAGGCGGAAUUCCCGGUGUAGCGGUGGAAUGCGUAGAUAUCGGGAGGAACACCAGUGGCGAAGGCGGCCUACUGGGCACCAACUGACGCUGAGGCUCGAAAGUGUGGGUAGCAAACAGGAUUAGAUACCCUGGUAGUCCACACCGUAAACGAUGAUUACUAGGUGUUGGAGGGUUGACCCCUUCAGUGCCGCAGUUAACACAAUAAGUAAUCCACCUGGGGAGUACGACCGCAAGGUUGAAACUCAAAGGAAUUGACGGGGGGCCCGCACAAGCAGUGGAGUAUGUGGUUUAAUUCGACGCAACGCGAAGAACCUUACCAAGUCUUGACAUCCUGCGACGCACAUAGAAAUAUGUGUUUCCUUCGGGACGCAGAGACAGGUGGUGCAUGGUUGUCGUCAGCUCGUGUCGUGAGAUGUUGGGUUAAGUCCCGCAACGAGCGCAACCCUUAUGGUCAGUUACUACGCAAGAGGACUCUGGCCAGACUGCCGUUGACAAAACGGAGGAAGGUGGGGAUGACGUCAAAUCAUCAUGCCCUUUAUGACUUGGGCUACACACGUACUACAAUGGCGUUAAACAAAGAGAAGCAAGACCGCGAGGUGGAGCAAAACUCAGAAACAACGUCCCAGUUCGGACUGCAGGCUGCAACUCGCCUGCACGAAGUCGGAAUUGCUAGUAAUCGUGGAUCAGCAUGCCACGGUGAAUACGUUCCCGGGCCUU
rnacentral:rRNA from 1 species